GUGGGGAAUUUUGGACAAUGGGGGCAACCCUGAUCCAGCCAUUCCGCGUGAGUGAAGAAGGCCUUCGGGUUGUAAAGCUCUUUCGGCAGGAACGAAACGGUGAGCUCUAACAUAGCUCGCUAAUGACGGUACCUGAAGAAGAAGCACCGGCUAACUACGUGCCAGCAGCCGCGGUAAUACGUAGGGUGCGAGCGUUAAUCGGAAUUACUGGGCGUAAAGCGUGCGCAGGCGGUUGUGUAAGACAGGUGUGAAAUCCCCGGGCUUAACCUGGGAACUGCGCUUGUGACUGCACGGCUAGAGUAUGGCAGAGGGGGGUGGAAUUCCACGUGUAGCAGUGAAAUGCGUAGAGAUGUGGAGGAACACCGAUGGCGAAGGCAGCCCCCUGGGCCAAUACUGACGCUCAUGUACGAAAGCGUGGGGAGCAAACAGGAUUAGAAACCCCAGUAGUCC
rnacentral:rRNA from 1 species